GACGAACGCUGGCGGCGUGCUUAACACAUGCAAGUCGAACGGAAAGGCCCUGCUUUUGUGGGGUGCUCGAGUGGCGAACGGGUGAGUAACACGUGAGUAACCUGCCCUUGACUUUGGGAUAACUUCAGGAAACUGGGGCUAAUACCGGAUAGGAGCUCCUGCUGCAUGGUGGGGGUUGGAAAGUUUCGGCGGUUGGGGAUGGACUCGCGGCUUAUCAGCUUGUUGGUGGGGUAGUGGCUUACCAAGGCUUUGACGGGUAGCCGGCCUGAGAGGGUGACCGGCCACAAUGGUACUGAGAUACGGCCCAGACUCCUACGGUAGGCAGCAGUGGGGAAUAUUGCACAAUGGGCGGAAGCCUGAUGCAGCAACGCCGCGUGCGGGAUGACGGCCUUCGGGUUGUAAACCGCUUUCGCCUGUGACGAAGCGGGAGUGACGGUAAUGGGUAAAGAAGCACCGGCUAACUACGUG
rnacentral:rRNA from 1 species